UUUUUUAAUUGGGGUAGCCCCCAAAAUACUGGGACAUAUAAAAAAAGAAAAAAAAGAAUAAGUGCAAUUGAGUAUAACAAUGGCUGGGUGAGGCCGGUAUAAAUGUCAAUUCUGCACAAGGUACAGACAAGUCUGGUGGGAUCCAUGCCUGGUUCAUUUUAAUAAAUGUGAGCUUGUUCACGUUGGCUGUGGACAGGCAGCUGCGCUUGUCUGUGAUAACCUUGUGCUGAUCGCACAUCCCCGUGAUGGCGACAAUGCAUUCAGAUGCCUGCCCUAUAAACUUUCGAUGCUAUUUUACGUGCCUACCAUCGUGACCAUGGGCAAAGGGGAAUCAGGGUUCGAAUCCAGACAGGGAGCCUGAUAAACGGCUACCACAUGCAAGGAAGGCAGCAGGCGCGCAAAUUACCCACUCCCUACGCGGGGAGGUAGUGACGACAAAUAACAAUACACUACACUUUUGAGGCUCUGUAAUUGUAAUGCGUCCACUUUAAAUCCUUUAACUUGGAUCAAUUGGAGGGCAAGUCUGGUGCAGAGCGACUGACCUGUAACUCCACUA